UACGGAGGGUGCAAGCGUUAAUCGGAAUGACUGGGCGUAAAGGGCGCGUAGGCGGCCGCCUUUGUCGGGCGUGAAAGUCCCGGGCUCAACCCGGGGACGGCGCACGGGACGGGGCGGCUCGAGUGGGGGAGAGGGUCGUGGAAUUCCCAGUGUAGAGGUGAAAUUCGUAGAUAUUGGGAAGAACACCGGUGGCGAAGGCGGCGACCUGGCCCUCGACUGACGCUGAGGCGCGAGAGCGUGGGGAGCAAACAGG
rnacentral:rRNA from 1 species